rnacentral:rRNA from 1 species
GACGAACGCUGGCGGCGUGCUUAACACAUGCAAGUCGAGCGGAAAGGCCCUGCUUUUGUGGGGUGCUCGAGUGGCGAACGGGUGAGUAACACGUGAGUAACCUGCCCUUGACUUUGGGAUAACUUCAGGAAACUGGGGCUAAUACCGGAUAGGAGCUCCUGCUGCAUGGUGGGGGUUGGAAAGUUUCGGCGGUUGGGGAUGGACUCGCGGCUUAUCAGCUUGUUGGUGGGGUAGUGGCUUACCAAGGCUUUGACGGGUAGCCGGCCUGAGAGGGUGACCGGCCACAUUGGGACUGAGAUACGGCCCAGACUCCUACGCGAGGCAGCAGUGGGGAAUAUUGCACAAUGGGCGGAAGCCUGAUGCAGCAACGCCGCGUGCGGGAUGACGGCCUUCGGGUUGUAAACCGCUUUCGCCUGUGACGAAGCGUGAGUGACGGUAAUGGGUAAAGAAGCACCGGCUAACUACGUG